CACGAAAUGAGUUUGGAUCCGAGAAGCCCU
rnacentral:piRNA from 1 species